CUCCAGCUCAAUCUCGUCCUCUCACUCUCUCUCUCUCUCUCUCUUUUGUGAUUCGCCAUGGCAUACCUUCAGUUACAAAAAAUAGCGAUAUCAGGUCCGACACUAGCUUCCAUGAUCCAACGGUUGUCCUCUUCCCCUGGCGACGUGGACGGCUUCAUCUUCGGCCAUGUCACUCAAAUCACCACUCUGUCCGACGACACCUCCUCCUCCGAUAACUCCGCCUCCCAACUCACUGCCACUAUCACCAGCUUUCUCUGCUCCGGCUCACCUCUCUCCUUCUACGACGCACUCGGGCGGGUCAACUCACCCAAAGUUCCCUCUUUUAACCAACAGAACCACCUCCUCGGCUGGUUCUCCGGCCGCCGCCAAUCCGCUAUCCGUCCAUCCAUGCGUGAAUUCGCUGUCACAAAUUCUCUCUCGAAAAUCCCCCAAUUUAAGUUUUCAAUUAAAAACUCUUCAGAAACCCUAAGUCCGUGCGUUUUCAUUCUGUUCACGACUCCCUUAACAGACCAACUGAUCCACACGCACCAGUACCGCGCGUACCAAUUCAACACUUCAAACAAAUCUUUUCACGCGAAGUCACUCGACGUGGUUAACAUCGGUCCCGCAUUUCGAGGACAUUACGAUAAUUUCGCCCCGAACUGCGCAUUGCCGUUGAUGAAUUGCUCGGCGAUGGAUGAGGAAAGCAUGUAUGCGAAUAAGGAAAAGGUGAGUGAUCAAAAACAAUUGGAUUUGUGUGCGGAAGGGUUUCAAAUUGAGAGGUUGAGGCGGCUGAUGGGACCCGAGGCGACGAAUUAUACAGAAGCUUUGGAGGAUUUGUAUGAGAAAAUGUUGGCUAAAGCUGAGAGUUUGACUCGGCUCGUGGAGUCCAGCUCGGCUAAGGUUUUCGAGUUGGAAAAUAACAAUAGAAAGUUGAGGUACAAGGUUUCUAGGUCUGCUGGAUCGGAAUAAUCGCUUGUUUGGUACCGUCUUAUUGCUGGUUCAUUAUCAGAGAAGUGCCCAUUCUUUAGCUGACUGUUAGGCUGUGGGAAUUUUUCGGGUGGUUCUGUAAAGAUGCUACUUGUAGUUGGGAUCUUUUUGGUUGACUUUUGAGCUGAAGUUGGCAUAUACUCUGGAGCUGCUGAUGAUAAUAGAAGUGACAACUGUGAAUAUUUGGUGGUUCUGGAAAGAUGAGGAUGGCUUGACAUUGCUCCUAUUUGGCUUCGUGAUUUAACCAAUUGGAGUUAAUACUUGAAGCACUUGCGUGUGAUUUGGCCAGAUGGAAUUCAACUGUUUGAACAUCUUUAGAAGACAGUAGAAAUGUCAAUAAAUUAGCAAGAUUCACUGCUCCAUCUCGGACCACACCAAUUUCCAUGGUCCACUUUUUGUGCUCAACCUGCAAUAAAUUACAAUAGAUAU